rnacentral:lncRNA from 10 species
CUGCAGACUUGGCUCUGUCCUCAAUUCCUUCCCUGCUCAGUGCCAACUCUCUCACAUCUGUCCUUCUCUCCUCACAGCCUCUUCCCCUCGUUUACCUCAUCUGUUCUGAAACCAUCUUGGCAGACACUUGCUGAGAACUUACUACGUGCAAGGCACUAAGUUCUUCGUGUUUGUGAACUCAAUAACUUAUCAUAAUGUCCCUUUGAGAGAGGAAUUACUAUCCUCAUCCUCAUUUCAUAGGUGAGGAAACUGAAGUCUAGGGAGGUGAAAUAAUUCAACCAAGACCAUCUAGCUAAAAGUGGUUGGUUGUCUUAUUCCAGGUUCCCCAGAAACCAACCUCAAGGAAAGGAUUCAAGUGCAAAAAGUAUAUUUGGGAAGUGAUUCCAGGAAACACAGGGAGGACAGCAGCCAAGUGGACUCUGGCUCAGAGGAAAAACUUCCAGGGACCAUGCAUUCAAUGGUCUCCAUCCACAGCUUUCUAGGUGCCUGUUGCCUUCUCCAAAGCAAAACCCAGCCUCAGCCCAAGUCCUCCAGGAUUUGGUCCCUAUCCUCCUCCAGUCUUCCAUGCUGUGGCUCCUCUCAGCUCUGCUCCAGCCACAGGGACCAUUUGAG